UACGGGGGGGGUAAGCGUUGUUCGGAAUUACUGGGCGUAAAGGGCUCGUAGGCGGCCAACUAAGUCAUACGUGAAAGCCCCGGGCUUAACCUGGGAACUGCGUUUGAAACUGGGGAGCUAGAGUGUAGAAGAGGGGGGUGGAAUUCCAGGUGUAGCAGUGAAAUGCGUAGAUAUCUGGAGGAACACCGAUGGCGAAGGCAGCCCCCUGGGCUAACACUGACGCUCAUGCACGAAAGCGUGGGGAGCAAACAGG
rnacentral:rRNA from 1 species